rnacentral:rRNA from 1 species
AUUGAACGCUGGCGGAAUGCUUUACACAUGCAAGUCGAGCGGCAGCGCGGGGGCAACCCUGGCGGCGAGCGGCGAACGGGUGAGUAAUACAUCGGAACGUGUCCUUGAGUGGGGGAUAGCUCGGCGAAAGCCGGAUUAAUACCGCAUAAGCUCUGCGGAGGAAAGCGGGGGACUGGUAACGGCCUCGCGCUGUUGGAGCGGCCGAUGUCGGAUUAGCUAGUUGGUGGGGUAAAGGCCCACCAAGGCGACGAUCCGUAGCUGGUCUGAGAGGAUGAUCAGCCACACUGGAACUGAGACACGGUCCAGACUCCUACGGGAGGCAGCAGUGGGGAAUUUUGGACAAUGGGGGCAACCCUGAUCCAGCCAUUCCGCGUGAGUGAAGAAGGCCU